GGCAACUCAGCAACUUUUCCUCCCAUCUGAAGAGGUGCCUUGUCAAUACUGAUGGGAUUACACAAUUGGAUCAAAAUGUGGACUAAGAACUCCAAAUUAAUAAACCUCAAAAAUAAAAGACUUCCCUGAGGCCCGGUGCGGUAAAUCCAGGCGCCUCUCAAUGCUAUAUACUAUGGUAAUGAAGAGCAGUUAAGACCUGAAAAGAUCUCUGCCACCGAAAAUCAGCUGUAUACGGCAACAAACAGAUAACGACAAAUUGGAAAUGAUUGCCGGGGUUCUCAGACUGCUACGCUGCGUAACAGACGCCUUACAGCGAAAUUGUAUUUCUAAAAUCCAGACCUCGCCAUCCGAAAAAACAAGAACCGCUGAGAACAUAUGUCCUGCAGGAAUCCAUGAACUACGUUACAGUUUAGUUUAUGAACUUCAUAACGCGUUUUGAACGCAAGAGGGAGAACAAUAGUCUGCAGCCAAAUCUGCCUUGGCCUAAUAAAAUAAUGGA